rnacentral:rRNA from 1 species
CCACCGGCGUUAUGCCUUAGAUACGGCGAGUGAAGCGGCAAAAGCUCAAAUUUGAAAUCUGGUACCUUCGGUGCCCGAGUUGUAAUUUGGAGAGGGCAACUUUGGGGCCGUUCCUUGUCUAUGUUCCUUGGAACAGGACGUCAUAGAGGGUGAGAAUCCCGUGUGGCGAGGAGUGCGGUUCUUUGUAAAGUGCCUUCGAAGAGUCGAGUUGUUUGGGAAUGCAGCUCUAAGUGGGUGGUAAAUUCCAUCUAAAGCUAAAUAUUGGCGAGAGACCGAUAGCGAACAAGUACAGUGAUGGAAAGAUGAAAAGAACUUUGAAAAGAGAGUGAAAAAGUACGUGAAAUUGUUGAAAGGGAAGGGCAUUUGAUCAGACAUGGUGUUUUGUGCCCUCUGCUCCUUGUGGGUAGGGGAAUCUCGCAUUUCACUGGGCCAGCAUCAGUUUUGGUGGCAGGAUAAAUCCAUAGGAAUGUAGCUUGCCUCGGUAAGUAUUAUAGCCUGUGGGAAUACUGCCAGCUGGGACUGAAGACUGCCACCUAAGUCAAGGAUGCUGGCAUAAUGGUUAUAUGCCGCCCGUCUUGAAACACCGGACACAA